CGCCCCGCCUACGCACGCCAUCUUCCGCCAGAGAAUCCCGGCUCCUGCUGCAAUGGAGAGGCUGCUCUGGAAGCUCUGGCAUUGGGGUCUUCAUCCCUGCAGUCUUUUCCAGCUAUUGUGUAGAGCGUUUUUGGCAAGAGAAUCUAGGACCAAGCCACACCGGUUCUCUGCUUAACCCACUCCAUUCGACUGUUCUCCCAGCUAUGCUUCCAGAGUGCUCUGUGCAUUUCCACGAUCAACAAACGAUGAAUAAAUCUCUUACGGAGUUUUGCACUUGUUGCCUAGGUGGGAGUGCAAUGGCAUGAUCACGGCUCACCGCAACUUCUACCUCCCGGGUUCAAGCGAUUCUCCUGCCUCAGCCUCCUGAGUAGCUGGGAUUACAGGUGUGUGGAUCUCGUUCAUUUUCACGUAGACAACGAGAGCGAAACCACAGAGAAAAGAAACAUCCCGUGCAUCACGGCCUGACGAUGGAUUCCUGUUUCCUGCAAAAUGGGGAGUCUCCAAUAUAGCCUGUUUGAAAACCGGAAAGGAGAGCACUGACACAAUGGUGGUCUUCCACGCAUUCCUGGAAGUUUCCGGGACCCCACAGAGCACGGGAAACAAACAGUCAACAUGGUCACGCUUUCAGAGGGCAGAAACUUGAGCAACAGGAACCUUUGCAGAGGGCAAAGAAACGUGGAAUCCAGAAUCACGCUUCAGUUGGCCUAAGUGUGACUCCUGUGUGGAUGGGACUAUCCGCCUCGCGCUCUGUUGCAGGGCUCAACGUGGGGAUAUGUCAUCUGUGAACCAUGUGGAUGAAAAACAGACAACCAGGGCAGCACCUCGGUUUGCACGCGGUCUCGGGUCUACAUUUAGUUGCAAGGCGCUUCAUGGUGCUGGCAAGGAGGCUGGCGGGACAACGGUUGGCAAGUGAUGGAGAGCGAAGAGACAGAGGAGUCGAGCCGCAGAAAGGACUGGCCUGGCUUCUGCCCCGGCCCAGUGUUUCUCGGACUGAGGUCUCCGCCAACCCGAUUGAAGAACGCGGGGGAAAAAGGAAUGAGAGCUCCGCCUGGGCUAGUUAGAAAACCUAGGCUGCUGCCUGGAAACCCGCGCAUGCGCAGUAGACAGCCCGCUUCCGGGUACCUGGACCGGCCCUGGGAUCCCCAGGAUGCUCAGGAAUUCUUUCUUGUCAUUCUUGACAGCCCUCCUCUGUGUGGAGUCUCUCGCUGGACCUGGAACUCAGGGAUCCUAGGCAGGUCAGCUGGAAGGGAAGACACGUCUCUCCAUACCAAGCCUGAGGUUCACCGCGAAAGAGAGGCCGCCGCUCUGCCCCCACCCCGCCCCAACCCCGCCCAAACCUGCUCCUCCAGCAGAGCCCAGUGUUCAUCCUGGCUGAGGAGUGGUUCCAGCAAAGCGGGCUCUUCCACGUCCUUCAGCUCCCCCAGUGGCGCCGGAUCUAGGAAAUGUUGUGCCUUUUGCUGAAACUCUGGGGUUGACAGGAGCUCAUCUAACAGGCUGGAGGUGAGUGCAGACGAGCUCCUCGGCUCCUGGAGCGGUUGGGAGGCGCCUGGAUGGCUGGCAUCUGUGCUUGCCGCGGAGGCCUCGGGUCGCGAUCUCCGGAGGUGGAGGUGCCCCGUCUUCGGGUUCCCACGUCACCCUGGCGACCUGGGGCUCCAGCCCCACCACGGAUUCUGGUGGGACGUGGGUGGCACAAGCACACCUUGCCCCUGUGACUCAGCUUGAGGGGGCCCAAAAUGAGCACGCGCCCAGGAGGCCCUCGCGCAGCGGUUUCUGGUCUUCCUGUCAUUUGUUGGGGUGCGGAGGCCACCAGGGAGUCUGAGGAUGGGACAGCCCCAGUUCCGGAGGAACCAGGGCAGGGAACACAAAGCCCCACAUGCUCGGGCAGGUUGGGAGAGUCCUUCUGCCUGCGCAGCCUGGCUGGGCUGGAGCAGGGGGAUGGCCCUUGCUGCCUGGCUCACGAAAGCCCCCUGUGGGAGAGCCCCAGGCGCGCAGGGCAUGUGCGGUGUCGGAAGCGCCGUUCCCCAUGCCCUGUUGUGGGUGAACUCGAUAGAGGAGGGAGGAGGGUGACACCCACCGGUGGUGCCAAUUAGUAACCACAGUGGCCUCAAAGAACUCAAAUGAAAGGAAGACUUUCACGUCUUUCACUUGAAGUCCAGAGCUAGAAAUGAUUAAGCUUAAUGAAGAUGUAGAAUUUUCAUAGCUAGAGAGAAGUCAAUGCUUGGCUUCAAAACUUCAAAGGAUGGGCUGACUCUCUUUGAGGACCACUGCAGCUGGUGACUUUUAAGUUACAGCCCAGUGCUCAUUGACCACUCUGAAAAUCUCAGGGCCCUUAAGAAUUAUGCAAAAUCUAUUCUUUCUGUGCUCUAGAAAUGGAACAUCACUGUCUGGGUGACAGCACAUCUGUUAAUGGCAUGGUUUACUGAAUAUUUUAAUCCCAAUAUUGAGACCUACUGCUCAGAAAAAAAAGUGAUUCCUUUAAAAAGAUUGUUGCUUGGCCAGGCAUAGUGGCUCACACCUGUAAUCCCUGCACUUUGGGAGGCCGAGGAUCACCUGAGGUCAGGAGUUCAAGACCAGCCUGGCCAAAAUGAUGAAACCCCAUCUCUAAUAAAAAUACAAAAAAAUUAGCCGGGCAUGGUGGUAAUACCUGUAAUUUCAGCUACUCAGGAGGCUGAGGCAGAAGAAUGGCUUGAACUCUGGAGGCGGAGGUGGCAGUGAGCCGAGACCACACCACUGCACUCCAGCCUGGGGAACAAGAGCGAAACUACGUCAAAAAAAUAAUAAUAAUAAAAUAAAAUAAAAGGAAAGAAAAGGAAAAAGGAAAAAAAAGAUUGCUGCUUAUUGACAAUUCACCUAGCUACCCAGAAGCUUAGAUGGAGAGGUACUUGGAAAUUAAUGUUAUUUUCAUGGCUGCUAAUACAAUAUUUACCUUCAGCCUGUGGAUCAAGGAGUGGUUUUGACUUUCAAGUGUUUUUAUUAAUUAAUAAUUGCAUUUUGUAAAGGUAUAGCUAUCAUAGAUAGUGAUUUCUUUGAUGAAUCUGGAUAAGCUGAAUUGAAAACCUUUUGGAAAGGAUUCACCAUUAAUCCUUUCAUGAUAUUUGAACCUCCUCCCGUGAAUCACAAAUGUCCUUAAUAGCAAUCCUUAAAUGCAAUUAAGGACAUUUGUGAUUGAUGGGAGGAGGUUGAAAUAUUAACAUUAACAGGAGUUUGGAAGAAGUUGAUUCCAGCCCUCAUGGAUGACUUUGAGGGCUCAGGAUGUCAGUGGAGAAGUCCCUGCAGAUGUGGUAGAAAUCGCAAGACAACUAGAAUUAGAAUUAGGGCCUUAAGGUGAGAUGAAAUUGCUGUAAACUCAUGAUGAAACUUGAACAAAUAGGGAGUUGCUUCUUAUGGACGAGCAAAGAAAAUAUUUUCUUGAGAUGGAAUCUAAUCCAGGUGGAGAUGCUACAAACAUUGUUGAAAUGACAACUAAGGAUUUAGAAUAUUCCAUAAACCUAGUUGAUAAAGCAGCAGCAGGGUUUGAGAGGGUUUACUCCAAUUUUGAAAAAAGUUCUACUGUUAAUAAAAUGCUGUCAAACAGCAUCACAUGCUACAGGGAAAUCUUUUGUGAAAGGAACAAACUUCAUUGUUUGAAGAAAUUGACACAGGCACCCAACCUUCGGCAGCCCCCACACUGAUUAGCCAGCAGUCAUCAAUAUAGAGGCAAGACCCUCACCAGCAAAAAGAUUAUGACUUGGUGAGGCUCAGAUAUUCAUUCGCAUUUUUUAGCACUGAUGUAUUUUAACUUAAGGUAUGUACACAGUUUUUCAGACAUGCUAUUAAUUGCUAAUUAAUAAUUAAAUACUCAUUAGACUACAAUAUAGUUUAAGCAUAACUUUAAUAAGCACUGGGAAACAAAAUGUUUAUGCAACUAACUUGAUUGUAACAGUUGCCUUAUUGCAGUGGUCUGGAACCAAACCCACAAUAUUUCUGAGGUGUGCUUGUAAGUUUUUGGUUGUAACAUUUGCCUUAUUGCAGUGGUCUGGAACCAAACCCACACUAACUCUCAGGUGUGCUUGUAGAUUUUUGGUUGUAACAUUUGCCUUCUUGAAGUUGUCUGGAACCAAACCCACAAUAUCUCUGAGUAUGCUUGUAGGUUUUUGGUUGUAACAUUUGCCUUAUUGAAGUUGUCUGGAACCAAACCCACAAUAUCUCUGAGUAUGCUUGUAGGUUUUUGGUUGUUCUUUGUUUUGAGAUGGGGUUUCGCUCUGUCGCCCAGGCCAGAGUGCAGUGGCAUGAUGAUAGCUCACUGCAGCCUCAAACUGCUGGGUCAAGUUAUUUUUCUACCACAGCCUCCUGAGUGGCUGGGACUACAGGCAUGCAGCACUAUGCCUGGCUAUUUUUUUUUAAUACUUUUGUUGUAGAGACGGGAUCUCACUAUGUUGCCCAGCUGGUCUUGAACUCUGGGGCUGAAGCAAUCCAGCCACUUCAGACUCCAAAAGUGCAGCCAUUACAGGCUUGAGCCACUGCACCCAGCUUGUCUGAAGUUCUUAAAACAAAAACGGCCAGGUGUGGUGUCUGACGCCUGUAAUCCCAGCACUUUGGGAGGCCAAGGCAGGUGGAUCACAAGGUCAGGAGUUCGAGACCAGCCUGGCCAAGAUGGUGAACCCAGUCUCUACUAAAAAUACAAAAAUUAGCCGGGCGCAGUGGCGGUCACCUGUUGUCCCUGCUACUUGGGAGGCUGAGGCAGGAGAAUCUCUUGAACCCGGGAGGUGGAGGUUGCAGUAAGCCGAGAUCGUGCCACUGCACUCCUGCCUUGCGACAGAGCAAGAUUCCAUCAAAAAAAAAAGAACAAACGUAAUUUAAAAGAUUAAAAGUUAAGAUAGAUUUUUACAAAUGUAUAUAUCUACCAUUACAGUAUCAUACAGAAUGGUUUUACUGCCGUGAAGUUUCUCUGUUGUCUGUGUAUCCAUCUCUUCCUUCCCCUUGGUCCAUGGCAACCACUGAUCUUUCUACUGUUCCCAUAGUUUCACCGUUUCCAGAACGUCAUAUAAUUGGAAUCGAACAGUACGUAGACUUUUCGGAUUGGCUUCUUCUUUUAGCAAUAUGCAUUUAAGUUUCCUCCAUGUAUUUUUUUGUGGCUUGAUAGAUCAUCUCCUGUUAGGGGUGAAUAAUAUCAUAUUGCCAUUAUACUUUUGUCAUGACUCAGAAAGUACAAUGUGAAGAGUAAAUAAGUAUGAAUGUGCACUGUAAGCUUUGAGUGAUAAUGAAGGGUCAAGGUAGGUUCCUGGUUGUCACAGGUGUGCUCCUGUGAGGCAGGAAGCUGUAGUGGGGAGGCUGUGUGUGGGGAAAGGGACAUAUGAGAAGUCUUUACUCUCUGCUCCGUUUAGCUGUGAACCUGCACUUCUCUAAAAAAUAAAAUUAGUUAAAAUUAAGAGCAAAAAAUUAGAAAAAUUAAAACAUUACAAUGUGUCAUAUAGUUUUCACAUCACAAGACAGAAAAAGACAUAAUAAAAGAAACUGUAGAAAACAACAAGGAUAGGAAUAAAAAACAUCAGUGAUAGAAGGCAGAAGACAGAAACGUGGAGCCAAACACAUUAUUUUAUUUUAAUCAUUAGUUAUACUCAUUUAUACUAAUUUAUAUUGAUUUAACAUAUUAAUUUUGACAAAAUGGCAUUAAAGGAGGUUUGAGAAAUUUGCAUGUCACAUUCUGGAUGAGAGGACUCAAUAAUAUUAACUCUUUAGUUUGCUGUAAAUCAUUUAAAAAUAUGCUCAAAUUCCAAUAAAAAUUCCAAGAAAAAUAUUUUCGAACAAGAAAAUGUGAUUUUUAAAUCCACAUAUUGAACACACACGAGAGCCAAUUUUAUAAAAUUUACUAUAACAUAUUUAAGAUUGUUAUUACUAUUCAAAAUUAAACAAAUUUGAAAUGGCACAAAAAUAAACACAUUAAUGAAAGAGAAACAAAAACACAGAAAUUGAGUGUAAUUUUAUCUAGUAACGGUAAUAUUUUAAACCCACAAAACAGAGCAAUUUUUCCAUUUAUGAUGUUAAAAUAUUGGGUAAUGAUUUGAGAAUAUAAAAUGAUAGAAUUGAGUCCUGGUCCCACACCUUACAUAAAAGUUAAUUCCAGUAUUAAAUGUAAAAAAAAAAAAAAAAGAGAGAGAGAGAGAGAGAGAGAAAAGAAAAGAAAAUUAGAUGUACCUGUGUUUUAUGACCUUGAGAAUGAAUGAAUGUCUUCUAAAAUCAAAAUUGCAAACAGAAACUAUAUAAAAAGGAAUAAACCUAACGUACCUAAAACGUACAUUCUUACACAUUUCCACACCAAGUAAAUAGGACAAAACAAACUGGGGACAUUUUUACAACAAUUAUGUUAGAUGAAACUUAAAAUCCUUAUGACAUAUACAAUGUAUAAAACAGUAUUAUUACCACUAUUAUUACUACCAUUAUGAUUACCUGGUCUUCCCACGCACCAGUCCUCUUCCGGUGCCCUAUGGUGAAACAGAGCCCUCCGUCUCUGGCCACAGUGAGGGAUCCAUCAGGAACCCUGCCUAAGCCCUCAGAGGGUGUGAGCCAAACCAGGACAUCACAUUCCCUCCUGCAAUGACGCAGAUAUCCACUCACGACAGAGAUUUGGUACCUCUCUGGAAAAGCUGUGUAACAAUUAUUGCAGAAACUUGUUUCUUAUGUUCCCAGACACAUGGAGAAAGCUGGUCUGGAAGACUGAUGUCCACAUGCUAAGAGAAGCAGUCACUCAUAACACACACUGCACACACCACACCAUGUGCACACACACCCCACACACAGACACCACACAAACAGCACACACACCAUGUGCACACGUGAAGGGGUGGUCUGCCCCUCCACACUUGUGGGCGUUUCUCAUCGGGUGGAACAAGAGACUUGAGAAAAGAGACACAGAGACGAAGUAUAGAGAAAGAAAAGUGGGCCCAGGGGAAUGGCGCUCAGCAUACGGAGGACCCACGCUGGCACCAGUCUCUCAGUUCCCUUAGUAUUUAUUGAUCAUUAUCAGGCGUUUCUCAGAGAGGGGGAUGUGGCAGGACAAUAGGGUAAUAGUGGAGAGAAGGUCAGCAGGAAAACAUAUGAACAAAUGUCUCUGCAUCAUAAACAAGGUAAAGAAAAAAGUGCUGUGCUUUUGAUGUUCAUAUACAUAAACAUCUCAAUGCCUUAAAGAGCAGUAUUGUUGCCAGCAUGUCCCACCUCCAGCCCUAAGGCAGUUUUCCCCUAUCUCAGUAGAUGGAAUAUACAACUGGGCUUUACACUGAGAUAUUCCAUUGCCCAGGGACAAGCAGGAGACAGAUGCCUUCCUCUUAUCUCAACUGCAAAGAGGCCUUCCUUUUUACUAAUCCUCCCCAGCACAGAACCUUUAUAGGUGUCAGGCUGGGGGAUGGUCAGGUCUUUCCCUUCCCAUGAGACCAUAUUUCAGACUAUCACAUGGGGAGAAACCUUGGACAAUACCUGGCUUUCCUAGGCAGAGUUCCCUGUGGCCUUCCGCAGUGUUUUGUGUCCCUGGGUACUUGAGAGUAGGGAGUGGUGAUGACUCUUAACAAGAAUGCUGCCUUCAAGCAUUUGUUUAACAAAGCACAUCCUGCACAGCCGUUAAUCCAUUUAACCUUGACUUGACACAGCACAUGUCUCAGGGAGCACAGGGUUGGGGGUACGGUUACAGAUUAACAGCCUCUCAAGGCAGAAGAAUUUUUCUUAGUACAGAACAAAAUGGAGUCUCUUAUGUCUACUUCUUUCUACAUAGACACAGUAACAGUCUGAUCUUUUUCUUUUCCCCCCACACAUGCAUACACACCCCACAGACACCGCACACACUGCACACACACCCCAGACACCACACCCACUGCACACACCACACCAUAUGCACACACACAACCCAGACACCAUACACACUGCACAUACCUCAUGAGCACAUGCACACACAUCACACAGACACCACACACUGCACACACACCAUGUGCACAAACACCACACACACUGCACACACACCAUGUGCACGUAUACACACCCCACACUGCACACACACACGUGCACACGCACACACCCCAGAGACUACACACCGCACACACCACUCCAUGUGCACACACACCCCACACACAGACACCACACACUGCACACAGCCCACCACACUGCACAUGCCACACCGUGUACAUGCACACACCACACACACACCACACACAGUGUACACAAGCACACAUGCCCCACACAUACACCACACAGACACCACACACACUGCACACAGCACAACAUGCAUACACGCACACACACCCCCACACACCACACAUACUGCACACAUACCACGUACACACACACCCAACACAGACAUCACACACUGCACACACACCAUGUAUACAUGCACACAAACCCCCAAACAUCACACACACCACACACCAUGUGCACGUGCACACACCCCACCACAGACACAUACACUGCACACAGACCAGGUGCACACACGCACACCCCUGAUACGCCACACACACACCAUGUGCACACACACACCCCAGACACCACACACACUGCACACACACCAUGUGCACAUGCACACACAUCCCCACACCACAAUGCACAAUGUGCACACACGCAUACCCCCCACACACCGCACACACUACACCACACACAAGAAUCUACUACACACACAACAUACACAUACAGCACCACACACACCCCAUACUCCCCACACACAUCAAACACACGCCCCACACAUACUCCCCACACACUGCACACGUAUAUAUAGCACCACACAGAGCACACACAUCACAUACACACCACACAUACUGUGCACACACACACCACACAUUCUACACUCAUCACACAUCAAACACUACACACAGUACACACACAUCCAGCACCAUACACACACACAUCACAUAAACCACAAACUGCACACACAUAUAUCAUACGCACACCACACCACACGUAGUACACACCCACCACACACACAUACACCACAAACACAGCACAUAUACACACCAUGCACCACCCACAAACUACACACAGUAUACACACAUAACACCCACAAUACACACUACACACACAUAUACAUACCCCAUGAACCUACUACACACAAAGACCACAAACACACACCAUACAUACACAUCACACACAUACACCUGCGCACACCUCACAGCAUACAUACAAUCCUCACUUUUAGAAAUUAAUUUGGCUUUUAAGGAGCCUGGAUAGUAAAGUAUUUUAUUGGCAUUUGAAUGAACCAAAAAAAUGCAUAUAAAUACACAAGCGUAACUAUAAGGGCAAAAGUAGUACUUUCGAAAUCACAACAUUAGAUUAAACCAUGUAAAUUUUUUAUUGUUUUUAAAAAAUCGAGUCUUUCUCAUCUUACGAUAAAUUAUUUACCAGAGUAAAUAAGCUUCUUACUGAGGUCAAAAGACUUUCUGGAAAAACUUCUCCUUGAUGAAAUUGCACUUAAAACAUCACUUCCAUCAUGAAGUAUUUAAGAUGGUCUUGGUCCUUUUCCUGUUAUGUGGAAUCGUCAAUUCAAAUUUUAAAAGUGACGUUGAGAUGUUUUUCAUCUAUUAUUUUAAAAACGUUGAAGGCGUUUUUAAUUCUGCCUUCAACAGAGAUCGACAUACCUCUGAUUAUGAUGUAAAACUGAACACGUUACUCUGACAGGCUUUCUUUUCUGCAGCGCAGCUACCAUCAUUAUUAAUAAGGAUUGAAGGCUUUUACUCCAUGCACAAUCUGUAUUCCCUGCUUUAUAAAGAAUAGAAAUCUAAUUCUCACUAUGAAGGCAGAUAAAAGUAAUCCCUUCAACCUAUAGAUGAAUCAUUUACCAAAGCACUCAGACUUUAAAUAGCAUUUAUCAAAUGUGUCUAUAUUUCUAUGCAGAUUCAUAGAAAGAACAUGUAGUUUAAAUCAUUGCACAUUUUAUGCUUUUAAUGAGUUGUGAUGGUCAUUAGUAUUUUUAUCACAUUUCCCCAAAGGUAGGCUAAUUACUGUUUUUAUUUUCAGCUAGAAAUAUAAAAUGAAUUUUCUAUUUUUGAAGACUUUGAAACAUAAUCCUUGGAAUAUAAUAUCUGUGUAUAAUAUCUGUGGAAAGCAUGAAAGCAACAUUCAAACAGUAUGCAUUUUUUCCAGAUUGAAAAUUUACUCUACAAUAACAUUCAUCCUUUUUUCCUGAUGGGCACAUAAAAGUCAACAUUUCUGACAUUGCUGGAUGUUAUUUACAUUAAACUUGCCUCAGAUUCAGGUGUUGCAGAAACUGGACAAGAGGCCACAAGGUACACAAUACACACACACACACACACACACACACACACACACACACACACACACAACUUGUAUUAUUAUACUUACCUAAGUGUCUAAAGAGGUGGAUAAAUAUAUUAGAUUGCUCCAGAACAAGGAUUUUUAUGGGGCCUAUUGGAAAGUAUGACUGCAGUUUGAGUGAGAUGCCUGUAAGAGAUUCAAUUUUGCCACUAAUGGAGUACCCAAUUUUAAAAAUACUGACAGAAGGGUCAUGAGAUAGAAAUUUUCACCUAGAUCUAUUGGAAAUAUGCUACUAGAUUCUGUAGUAAAAAGACUGGUGUGGUAAUUGUAAAACACAUCUGAUAUCUAAACCUUUGUUUGUUUUUUACCUGAAAUCCUUAUAGGGGUGAUUGUGUAUGUCAAUUUGAAUCUUCCCAUCAACAAGAUAAAUAAAUACAUAAAUAAACAGCCACCUGCCUGUAUAAAUUAGUUCACCUUUUCUAUAUUUUGAGGGCAGUGCUUCUCCUCCUUUGACAGCCACAAGUUUCACCCGGGGAUCCCUUAAAAUGCAAAACCAUAGCCCACACUUUGACAAGCUUGGAUAAGAGGCCAGAGCUUUGAAAUGAGUGUGUAGCUGACUGUGCUAAGAUUCUGCUGCUCAUUUGGGCACUGGCUCACCAUAUAAACAAAGCCUAGGACCUCUAUUCCUUGCUGGAAAAGAAAUACACAUACAUAGGAUGUGACUGUGCAUAUGGAAUAUCUGUUGUGUUCUGGACAUUGUGCUAGACAACAGAGAUAAGAAGUCAAAUAAUCCUUUGUCUCUAUCUGAAAAGAGCUUCCUACACACUGGCUUCUGAGGUCUUUGAAACUAGAUUCACUUUCAGAUUUGACUAUUAUAUUUAUGAUUUGAUAUUUUCAUUGAACCCCAUGAUAUGAUAAAGUUUUCUAGAACCUGCUAGAAUAAUUGACUUUCCUCUCAGCAUUAUGAAGCCACUGGGGCACAUAAGUAGUUCAUUUAUGUUUCUAUUUAACCAGACAGGAACAACUUGAGCUACUUUUCUAGCCACUUUUGUUUAGAGCUGUUUUUGUUUGUUAUUUUUGUUUGUUUUUGAGACAGGUCUCACUCUGUCACCUAGGCUGAAAUGCAGUGGCGUGAUCGGAGCUCACUGCAGCCUCUACCUUCUGGGCUCAAGCAAUCCUCUCACCUCAGCCUCCUGAAAAGCUGGGACCACAGGCUCAUACCACCAUACCCUCCUAAUUAAAAAUUUUUUUUUGUAGAGACGGUUUUUCCAUGUUUCUUAGACUUGUCUCCAACUCUUGAACUUAAGCAAUCUGCCUGCCUCAGCCUCCUAAAGUGUAGAGCUGUGUUUUCAGUCUUUUUUUGAGCUGUUUUACAAUCCAGCUUUGAAUUGAUAACUUUGGAUUCAUUCUGACAUUUACAGAUUUUACAUCCUACUUCACAAGAUGCUCAUAGCCUUAAUCCAUUACAGCCGCUGCCUCACAUCCAUCUCUGCUCAUAGCCUUGAUCUAUUACAGUAGCCACCUCGUCCAUCUCUGCUCAUAGCCUAAACUUAUAGAAGCCAGAGGGAAGAAAUGGAAGCCAACGUGAGAUCAGAACACACAUUUUAUAAGAGUAUAAGAAAUUUAAAUAUAGCAAAGUAUAUCAUGAAGUUUGUAAAAGAUGUGCAUGGCUAAAAUUUAUUCUUAAUCAAUAUAUUCUAUAAAUUGGGAGAAAAUAUUAAACACAUGAAAAAUAAGGAACUUGGGCUGGGUGCGGUGGCUCAUGCCUGUAAUCCCAGCACUUUGGGAGGCCGAGGCUUGCGGAUCACAUGGUCAGGAGAUCAAGACCAUCCUGGAUAACAUGGUGAAACCCCGUCUCUACUAAAAAUACAAAAAAAUUAGCCAGGGGUGGUGGUGGGUGCCUGUAGUCCCAGCUACUCGGAAGGCUGAGGCGGAAGAAUGGCAUGAACCUGGGAGGCAGAGCUUGCAGGGAACCGAGAUCACGCCAUUGCACUCCAGCCUGGGGACAGAGCGAGACUCCGUCGCAAAAAAAUAAGAAAGAAAAGUAAGGAACUUUCAUCAUUAAUAUAUAACUAAUAUGACAAGAAUGUGGUUUAUGUUUUUAUCUUUGCAAGAUUUAGGAACAUUUAGUGGAAGGAGGAAGAAUUUAUAAUCAUGGGGAGCGUGUAUGAUACUGGAGGGAGGCUUCUGACAAGGGGGAAAUGGCAUCACGAGGUAUGCUGUGGUCAUAGCUAUGUGGGAGCGCAGCUAGCUGUGAUCUCCCCCAUCAAACCCACUGGGCAGUGUUCAGUUACCAA